rnacentral:hammerhead_ribozyme from 1 species
AUCCAGUUGACGAGUCUCAAGUAGGACGAAAUGGACAUCCUAGAU